CAACUACUCCCUUCGUUCGAAAUUACUUGUCUCGAAAAUGGAUGUAUCUAGAACUAAAAGACGUCUAGAUACAUCCAUUUUUGCGACAAGUAAUUCCGAACGGAGGGAGUAUAAA
rnacentral:pre_miRNA from 1 species